UUAGGGAUUCAGUUAGACUUUCUAUUACAUGUAUUAUUUAUUAGAAAAUUAGGGAGAGCAGUGGUUAUAAUUGAAAAUUAAUGAGAAUUAGAUUUAGGAAAAGUUUUUAGUUCUAAUGAAGUUUGUGCCAGCAAUUGCGGUUAUACAAGCAGGGCAAUUGAAUUUUUUUGGUUAUUAAUUAUUAGGGAAGAUUAAUAAUUUUAAAAGGAAAUUGUUUAGGUGAAAUUUUGAGUUUUAAAAAGGUUAAGAGUUGAUUAAGAGGUUGAUAAAGUUUAAAUUUAAACUAGGAUUAGAUACCCUACUAUUUAAACAGUAAAUUGCUUAAACCAGAAUAGUAUUAGGUAGGAUCUUGAAACUUAAAGAUAAUGGCGGUAUCUUAUUUCCGGUCAGAGGAACCUGUUCUGUAAAUGAUAGUCCACGAUUUGAUUUACUUUCUCUUUUAGCUUGUAUAUCGUCGUUUUUGAGAAUUCCAUUAGGAUAAUAAUUCUCAAAUUUUUAUUUUAAAAUUUAAGACAGAUCAAGGUGCAGCUUAUGGGGAAGAAGAAAUGGGUUACAAUUAGGAAAUUAUUGGUUUGGGAUCUUGAAUGAUUUUAAUAAAUUGGAUUUGAAAGUAAUAUCCAAAAAAUUAUGUUUAUGAUUUGGGUUUUGAGAUAUGCACAUAUUGCCCGUCGCUUUCAUUAAGGUGGAAUAAGUCGUAACAUAGUAGGUGUACUGGAAAGUGUACCUGGAAAG
rnacentral:rRNA from 1 species